rnacentral:rRNA from 1 species
GUACUCGAGCGGCGAACGGGUGAGUAACACGUGAGUAACCUGCCCCAGGCUUUGGGAUAACCCCGGGAAACCGGGGCUAAUACCGGAUAUGACCAUCUGUCGCAUGGUGGGUGGUGGAAAGAUUUUUUGGCUUGGGAUGGGCUCGCGGCCUAUCAGCUUGUUGGUGGGGUGAUGGCCUACCAAGGCGGCGACGGGUAGCCGGCCUGAGAGGGCGACCGGCCACACUGGGACUGAGACACGGCCCAGACUCCUACGGGAGGCAGCAGUGGGGAAUCUUGCACAAUGGGCGGAAGCCUGAUGCAGCGACGCCGCGUGAGGGAUGACGGCCUUCGGGUUGUAAACCUCUUUCAGCAGGGACGAAGCGUUUGUGACGGUACCUGCAGAAGAAGCGCCGGCCAACUACGUGCCAGCAGCCGCGGUAAGACGUAGGGCGCAAGCGUUGUCCGGAUUUAUUGGGCGUAAAGAGCUCGUAGGCGGCUUGUCGCGUCGACUGUGAAAACCCGUGGCUCAACUGCGGGCUUGCAGUCGAUACGGGCAGGCUAGAGUUCGGUAGGGGAGACUGGAAUUCCUGGUGUAGCGGUGAAAUGCGCAGAUAUCAGGAGGAACACCGGUGGCGAAAGCGGGUCUCUGGGCCGAUACUGACGCUGAGG